rnacentral:rRNA from 1 species
GACGAACGAUGGCGGAGGGCUGAACACAUGCAAGUCGAACGGAAAGGCCCUGCUUUUGUGGGGUGCUCGAGUGGCGAACGGGUGAGUAACACGUGAGUAACCUGCCCUUGACUUUGGGAUAACUUCAGGAAACUGGGGCUAAUACCGGAUAGGAGCUCCUGCUGCAUGGUGGGGGUUGGAAAGUUUCGGCGGUUGAGGAUGGACUCGCGGCUUAUCAGCUUGUUGGUGGGGUAGUGGCUUACCAAGGCUUUGACGGGUAGCCGGCCUGAGAGGGUGACCGGCCACAUUGGGACUGAGAUACGGCCCAGACUCCUACGGGAGGCAGCAGUGGGGAAUAUUGCACAAUGGGCGGAAGCCUGAUGCAGCAACGCCGCGUGCGGGAUGACGGCCUUCGGGUUGUAAACCGCUUUCGCCUGUGACGAAGCGUGAGUGACGGUAAUGGGUAAAGAAGCACCGGCUAACUACGUG